rnacentral:rRNA from 1 species
AACCACACCAAUCCAUCCCGAAUUUGGUGGUUAAACUCUACUGCGGUGACGAUACUGUAGGGGAGGUCCUGCGGCAAAAUAGCUCGAUGCCAGAAU